CGCGAAGCUCACAUCUCGCGGAAGAACUCUCGAAACAGAUCUCGAAUGAAACAUUGCACAAUCGAAGAAGGAUAUGAGACGACAACUCAUCACUUUCCUUCCCACUAUACACUAACUCAUAAAAAAGUGCCAUUUGAUUAUCUUAUCAUAAAAAGCCGCAAAGCGGCAGGGAUUCAAAGCCACAUGCGGCCAGUCUUGAAACACAAAAUAAGGCCGUUUAAGGCCGAAACAUAAAAACAUAAAAAACAAAUCUCUCGCAAGAGAUCUAACCCAAAUUAUCCUCAGAACUCACGCCCCCUCUUCACCCGUCGCCUCGUCCGAGCCUGGAGCCGCGUC
rnacentral:lncRNA from 1 species